AGAGUUUGAUCCUGGCUCAGGAUGAACGCUAGCGACAGGCUUAACACAUGCAAGUCGAGGGGCAGCACGGGGUAGCAAUACCCCGGUGGCGACCGGCGCACGGGUGAGUAACACGUGUGCAACCAACCCCGUACCGGGAGAUAACCCGCGGAAACGUGGACUAACACCCCAUAAGACCUUUCCCCCGCAUGGGGGGGAGUUUAAAACCCCGGUGGUACGGGACGGGCACGCGCGACAUUAGGUAGUUGGCGGGGUAACGGCCCACCAAGCCGACGAUGUCUAGGGGUUCUGAGAGGAAGGUCCCCCACACUGGAACUGAGACACGGUCCAGACUCCUACGGGAGGCAGCAGUGAGGAAUAUUGGUCAAUGGGCGAGAGCCUGAACCAGCCAAGUCGCGUGAGGGAAGAAUGGUCUAUGGCCUGUAAACCUCUUUUGUCAAGGAAGAACAUGUAGUACGUGUACUACCCUGCCAGUACUUGACGAAUAAGCAUCGGCCAACUCCGUGCCAGCAGCCGCGGUAAUACGGGGGAUGCGAGCGUUAUCCGGAUUUAUUGGGUUUAAAGGGCGCGUAGGCGGGACGUCAAGUCAGCGGUAAAAGACUGCAGCUAAACUGUAGCACGCCGUUGAAACUGUCGACCUGGAGACGAGACGAGGGAGGCGGAACAAGUGAAGUAGCGGUGAAAUGCAUAGAUAUCACUUGGAACCCCGAUAGCGAAGGCAGCUUCCCAGGCUCGAUCUGACGCUGAUGCGCGAGAGCGUGGGUAGCGAACAGGAUUAGAUACCCUGGUAGUCCACGCCGUAAACGAUGCUCACUGGAUCUUGGCGAUACACGGCCAGGGUUCAAGCGAAAGUAUUAGGUGAGCCACCUGGGGAGUACGUCGGCAACGAUGAAACUCAAAGGAAUUGACGGGGGCCCGCACAAGCGGAGGAACAUGUGGUUUAAUUCGAUGAUACGCGAGGAACCUUACCCGGGUUUAAAUGCAGGUUGCAUGAGGUGGAAACACCUCUUUCCCUCGGGACUACCUGCAAGGUGCUGCAUGGUUGUCGUCAGCUCGUGCCGUGAGGUGUCGGGUUAAGUCCCAUAACGAGCGCAACCCCUAUCGCCAGUUGCCAUCGGUUUCGGCCGGGCACUCUGUCGAGACUGCCACCGUAAGGUGCGAGGAAGGCGGGGAUGACGUCAAAUCAGCACGGCCCUUACACCCG
rnacentral:rRNA from 1 species